UACGAAGGGGGCUAGCGUUGUUCGGAAUUACUGGGCGUAAAGCGCGCGCAGGCGGUCUUCCAAGUCAGUGGUGAAAGCCCGGGGCUCAACCCCGGAACUGCCUUUAAAACUGCAUCGCUUGAAUCCAGGAGAGGUGAGUGGAAUUCCGAGUGUAGAGGUGAAAUUCGUAGAUAUUCGGAAGAACACCAGUGGCGAAGGCGGCUCACUGGACUGGUAUUGACGCUGAGGUGCGAAAGCGUGGGGAGCAAACAGG
rnacentral:rRNA from 1 species